rfam:Toxocara canis scaffold347, whole genome shotgun sequence.
AAGCGUGGGGCUGAGUGGUAGAGCUCCCGCUUCGCAUGCGGGGAGACCUGGGUUCGAUUCCCAGCUGCUUC